UACGGAGGAUGCAAGCGUUAUCCGGAAUGAUUGGGCGUAAAGCGUCCGCAGGUGGCAAUGUAAGUCUGCUGUCAAAGCGUCUGGCUCAACCAGAUGAAGGCAGUGGAAACUACAUAGCUAGAGUAAGGUAGGGGUAGAGGGAAUUCCUGGUGUAGCGGUGAAAUGCGUUGAGAUCAGGAAGAACACCGGUGGCGAAAGCGCUCUACUGGACCUAAACUGACACUGAGGGACGAAAGCUAGGGGAGCGAAUGGG
rnacentral:rRNA from 1 species